rnacentral:rRNA from 1 species
UACGUAGGUGACCAGCGUUGUCCGGAUUUACUGGGCGUAAAGAGCGCGCAGGCGGUCGUUCAAGUCGAGUGUGAAAGCCCCCGGCUCAACUGGGGAGGGUCACUCGAUACUGAUCGACUUGAAGGCAGGAGAGGGAGGCGGAAUUCCCGGUGUAGUGGUGAAAUGCGUAGAUAUCGGGAGGAACACCAGUGGCGAAGGCGGCUUCCUGGCCUGUUCUUGACGCUGAGGCGCGAAAGCUAGGGGAGCAAACGGG